rnacentral:lncRNA from 1 species
CCCAAGUGCAAAACUUGUUUAAAUUGUUAGGACAUUUUUGUUGUAAGAAAAAUAUACACAGUUUCAAAUUGUAGUGCACGCCAAAUUUGGUUCUCCCUUUCAAUAAUAUUAUACCAGAUGGAUUAUCCUUUGGGAUAUGGUACGUUUUGUGUGUGAUUUUGUGGUGUUGGUGUUACACCCAAAAGGAGCAUCAUCACCACCACAUCAUCCCCCACACUAUCA